rnacentral:lncRNA from 1 species
GGGGAUUAUGAGGAAUUGUACCCUAACGUAUUGGGACUCGAUUUCUUUACAUGACUUGAACAAUUUGUUAGCUUUUUGCAAAUUUCAUCAUUCAAGCUUAUUUUAAAAUCUUUUUAACUUUCGACACUAAGACAUCAAAUAAUCAAUUUGGUGCCGAUUUUGGGCGUUACGAGGGUGCUAACCGUUCCGGAAGAACCUUAUGAUUAUAGAGAAGGUUUUUUUUUUCCCCAAAGGAGCUUUGAUUUUGAGCGAGAUGGAUGAUAAACCUGCAAAGUCCUGUAAACUCAGAUUCAGUCAGGAAAUACUCCGCUUAAAGAAGGAGAGGACCAAGGUAAAAACCCGCAAAGGGAAGUUUGGGUCCAAAAAAAAAGUGAUGUGAAAAAAUGAAAAGAUGAAAAUGAAAAAUGAAAAAAUGGAGAGGCUAAGGUGAAAACCUGCAAAGGGCGCCUUAGACCAAAAGGGAUUUGAGUGGCGAAUAUCUAACAAGGAUCCUUUUAAAAUGUGUCUGCAUAUAUGGCAUCGAUGUGCAAAUUUUUCACCACUUCUUCAUACAUUCAGUGCCUCCAUCCUCAAUCAUGAUUGAGUAACGGAUUUUCUGCACUUGAUGAGUCACCCAACUUGACAACACCCAUGUUGAUGAGUUUUUCAACUAGCAGCUCACGUCUGAAUAUUAUUAUUUUAAUGAAUACAUUAUUGCAAUCAUCUUUGAGCAAAUGUUCUUUCAUUCUUUACGUUUUUUUUCAUUCUUUCAGAUUUUUUCUGCCAAAUUAUUCAUUCAUUUAUUCAUAUUACUCAUACAUUCUUUUGUAUAUUCUUCGGUACCUACCAUGGGUCCCCAAAUAUCAAUGACAUGAGUGACGUUGCUACAGGCUUAAAAUCGUCUUUUGAGUGAGACAUGUGUUUAGAGGGAUCUCAUGACUUUGAAGAUAUCAAAAUUAUUAUUUUCGUGUACAUACAAACAUUUUUUUUAAAAGGUGAAUCGAGUCUUUUUUUUUUGUCUAUUCUUGUUUCGAUUUAUUUUUUUCACAUUAAAAAUAUAAAGAAAAGAGGGAAGAGGAAACUUACCUUUUCGCCGAAAUCGCCGAGUUGGUGCUGGUUAACUUUGUCACUAUAUCUUCUUGGGAUUCUCGCAUCUUCUCAGACAUCUUUCAUCUUGUCUAACCGCUCCUGCACCUGUAGCUGAAGUCGGUCCUGCAUCUCCUUCUGAUACUGUUCGAGCUUUUCCAAUCUCUGAUCCAUAUCUUUCGUCUUUGCCCGAGUGCCGUAUCGGUGUUGGGUUGGUUGGUUGGUUUCCAGGUUAACUGAGCAAUGAUUUUAGUUAAUUAGGAUCAAUUAAACGGUGUUUAACUUAUCAUAAACAUUUUUUUGAUUGUUCUAUAUUCCCUUAUUUUAUACAUAUUGCACAUGUAUAUGUAUUUGAAUAUAUACGUAUGCGAAUUUUCAGGAUUUACCUAUGUAUAUAUAUUUAUACAUUUUAUUUUUCUAUUUUGUAAAUAUAUAUGAUUCAUAUUAAAGUGUUUGUUUUAUUGUGUAUUAACAUUUUGUCAUUUUUUUAUAUAUUUUUACCUCAAAGUAUUUUCUUUUGAUUCAAAGGUUUUUUUUUAAUAAAAGUAAUAUUCAAAGUUUGGGAUUUUCAAGGGAAAUGGAGCCCUAACGUAUUGGGUUCUGAUUUUCUUUGAUGAUCUUAAGUAACCGAGGAUAUUCUUUAUUCAAAAUGCAUGAGUAUAAAAAUCAUUUUAAGGAACUUAACUUGUCGUGCCCUAACGUAUUGGGUGUGACAUGUUACUUUCUCGAAAUGAAGAUUUUUCGCAUAAAAUAAAAGUGAUAUUCAAAGUUCGGGGAUUAUGAGGAAUUGUACCCUAACGUAUUGGGACUCGAUUUCUUUACAUGACUUGAACAAUUUGUUAGCUUUUUGCAAAUUUCAUCAUUCAAGCUUAUUUUAAAAUCUUUUUAACUUUCGACACUAAGACAUCAAAUAAUCAAUUUGGUGCCGAUUUUGGGCGUUACGAGGGUGAUAACCCUUCCUCGUGCGUAACUGACUCCCGAACUCGUUUUCUCAAAAUUCGUAGACCAAAAUCAUUUUAAGGUGAGCCGAUCACACCUUAAUAAAGGAUCGGUGGCGACUCCAGUUUUUGUUUUUUAAGUCGACAACUAAAAUUUUUGUUUUUCAAAAAACGGUUUCGACAGCUUGGCGACUCCGCUGGGGACAUUUGAGAGUCGAGCCAUGAAUUGAUUAUGCUUUGUCUUUUUGUCGAAAGUCAAAAGUUUUUUUUAAAAAAUCAUGAUUUCCUUUUGCAUUUAUUGAUUUUCAUCAUUUGCAUGAUUGAAUCAAGUUGGUUGAUCUGUAUUUGCAUUUUGCAUUGCAUGGUCAGUGUUACCCUUUAAGUGGGAGCGAGAAACUAGUCCUUCGUGAGGUUUUCACCUCCGUGCAGGGUAGUGGACCGCUUUCGGGAUACAUCCGUACCUAUGUCUUCGUGAGAUUUUCAUCUCCGUGCAGCCAUAGGGAAAUGCAUCCCCCUGAACUGAACUCGAUUCACAUGAGCCUUUAAUGGGUGAGGAUCGAGGAAUCUGCUGGUUCGGGUACCCUUACUCUAGAAAAUAACCCUCAUAUAGUAAACGUUAGGAACUUACCCUAGGUAGAGCUAUACCAAACCCUAGAGGGGUCCUGAAUAGGUGCUUUUAUAAUUUUCUGUGUACAUUAAAUUAUGAUUUUAUGCAUGAUACUAACUUGUGUGUUUUGUUUUGGCUGCAUGACAUUUUUGAUUGCAUGGCAUUUCAUCAUAUAAAAGAGAUGUUGAUUCACGUUUGGUUGUUAAUAGAGAACUUACCAGGGAAAACGAGUUUCUUGAUAAGGUGAAGGAUAAUACGGUUGUUCGAGUAUAGUCUACGAAAACGUGACACAAAAGGUAAUAGCCUAACAAGAGGAGUAUACGACUUUGCUGCAUGACCUGAGGAUCAAAAUUGUCAAAGUUUAUUCAAAAGUCAUCAAAGGUCCCAAUUUUUUAAAGAAGCUAAUGAACGUGAGUGAGCAAGGAAUUGCGACCUAGAUCGAACAAAAAUGAGCUCAAAUUCGCGAGUUGUAUCUUAAUAUCUGAAGGGUCGAUGUCUUCACUUGGAGUACGAGGGUAAAGCCGUAUAUAUAUCCGCUUUGUGUAAAGAGAUUUGUUUUCUAACGAAGUUUUUCUAGUAAAGAAUUGAACCGGAAUCAACGUCUCUUUUUGCAUUCAUUUCAUGCAUUUGCAUUUCAUUACAUCAUAUGCAUUAGACACCGUUUAAUUGAUCCUAAUUAACUAAAAUCAUUGCUCAGUUAACCUGGAAACCAACCAACCAACCUAACACCGAUAUGGCACUCGGGCAAAGACGAAAGAUAUGGAUCAGAGAUUCGAAAAGCUCGAACAGUAUCAGAAAGAGAUGCAGGACCAACUUCAGCUACAGGUGCAGGAGCGGUUAGACAAGAUGAAACAAGAGAUGUCUAAGAAGAUGCGAGAAUCCCAAGAAGAUAUAGUGACAAAGUUAACCCAACUAAUAACUAAGGGAAGUGACAAAGGAAAGGGCCCCAUGGCAAAUGUCGAAGAGGGAAAUGAUGAUGAACCUCUCUAUCCUUCAGGCUUCACCCCUCCACAUGUUCGAACCCAAGUUGAAUACCUGCAUAAACCUACUGUUACAAUCAGGCCUCAGCAGUCCCAGGCCAGUGCUUCGAACUUUCAAGUUAGAUUGGGCUCUAACCCCAAAAACUACCCUGUUAACUCUGCCAUUCCCGACUUCGAUGAAGUGGCUGAAAAGGAAAGAAUAAAGGAGGAGUUACCGACACAGUUAGAGGAAAGGUGCAAGUGGCUCGAGGAGAAAUUUAAGGCGAUAGAGGUCACUGAAGCCUAUCGUGGGAUUGACGCUAAAGAGCUGAGUUUAGUUCCGGAUUUGGUACUCCCCCAUAAGUUUAAGAUGCCAGAAUUCGAGAAGUACAAUGGGGCAAGUUGCCCAGAAGCACAUAUCACUAUGUUUUGCAGUAGAAUGGCUGGAUAUGUUAACAAUGACCAGCUACUGAUUCAUUGUUUCCAGGAUAGCCUCACAGGGGCAGCAUCUAAGUGGUACAAUCAACUGAGUCGUACCACGAUUAGUUCAUGGAGGGAUUUGGCCCAAGCAUUCAUGAAACAGUAUAGUCAUGUGACGGACAUGGCUCUUGAUAGAAUCACCCUUCAAAACAUGGAGAAGAAGCCGAGUGAAAGCUUUAGGCAGUACGCACAGAGAUGGAGGGAAGUCACAAUCUAAGUUCAGCCACCGCUCUUAGAAAAAGAAACGACCAUGCUGUUCAUUAACACACUGAAAGCCCCGUUCAUUACGCAUAUGUUAGGAAAUGCUACAAAAAGCUUUUCUGACAUAAUUAUGAAUGGUGAAAUGAUCGAAAAUGCUAUAAGAAGUGGGAAAAUUGAGGCGGAAGAGAGUAACAAGCGGUCAGCCUCAAGGAGAAGAGAAAAUGAGGUGAACAACACAGGUUAUUCUAAAUCAGUUGCUGUAAGUCAUCCAAGAAAGGGGGUUGCUAGUUAACAAAGUUCAAUGAGACAGGAAUCUGGAGUGAAACCAGGUACUGAGAAGCUCCGGUUCACGCCAAUUUCGAUGUCGUAUAAGGAGCUGUACCAAAGCUUAUUUGAUGCGCACGUUGUUUCCCCUUCCUACUUAAAACCCCCACAACCUCCGUAUCCCAAGUGGUAUGAUGCGAACGCACAGUGUGACUACCAUGCGGGAAUUACAGGGCACUCAAUCGAGAAUUGCAUUACCUUCAAAAAGCUAGUUGAAAAACUCAUCAACAUGGGUGUUGUCAAGUUGGGUGACUCAUCAAGUGCAGAAAAUUCGUUACCCAAUCAUGAUUGAGGAUGGAGGGACUGCAAUGUAUGAAGAAGUGGUGAGAAAUUUGUACAUCGAUGCCAUAUAUGCAGACACAUUUUAAAAGGAUCCUUGUUAGAUAUUCGCCUUAGAGGUGUUUUAAAUAAUGAGACUGUAGAGGAAACCCCUAAAGUAUUUAGAGUAUGUUGGAGUAAUGUUCAGAACACACUUGUUGCUUUCAGCCUAGAAGCAAUAAGAAUUUCUUUGUGAAAUAGGCUCACGUCUGAAUAUUAUUAUUUUAAUGAAUACAUUAUUGCAAUCAUCUUUGAGCAAACGUUCUUUCAUUCUUUACGUUUUUUUUCAUUCUUUCAGAUUUUUUCUGCCAAACUAUUCAUUCAUUUAUUCAUAUUACUCAUACAUUCUUUUGUAUAUUCUUCGGUACCCACCAUGGGUCCCCAAAUAUCAAUGACAUGAGUGACGCUGCUACAGACUUAAAAUCGCCUUUUGAGUGAGACAUGUGUUUAGAGGGAUCUCAUGACUUUGAAGAUGUCAUAGAUUGUAGCUUAUCUCCUGACUUGUUGAGGAUGGUAAAGCAAUAAGAGAAACAAGUAAGACAGUAGAGACUGCGAUCUUGAGAGAACAGGCAUGACCAAAAAAUAAAGCAAGACGUUGCUGAGUUACUUCAAGCAUUUAAAGAUGCCUUUGCAUGGUCAUACCAGGAUGUACCCAGUUUAAGCGCUGUAAUUGCAAUCUGAACAACAGCCCGAUAUUAGAAAUUUACAGUAUGUUCAAUAAUGAUGCAGUGAAAACUCUAUCGGAGUAGUGCCUCUCUCUUUAAGUUCAUCAUUGAAGUUGAAAUUCUUUCUCUCCGGGUAUUGGCUGAGCAAGUUGGAUGAAGCAGAACGGAUCCAAUCGCAAUGUGAUCAAUUGAACUUGAUAGAAGGACGAAUACUAAAAGCUAUUCGUCACGGUCAGAUGUACCAGAAAUGAAUGAUGCGAGCCUAUAACAAAAGGUUCAUCCCAGAGAAUUCCACGAGGGUGACAAAAUGUUGAAGAUCUUCCUUCUACAAAAAAAAUGUUUUGGAGGGAAGCGGAUGCCAAAUUGGGAAGAACCUUAUGAUUAUAGAGAAGGUUUUUUUUUCCCCAAAGGAGCUUUGAUUUUGAGCGAGAUGGAUGAUAAACCUGCAAAGUUCUGUAAACUCAGAUUCAGUCAGGAAAUACUCCGCUUAAAGAAGGAGAGGACCAAGGUAAAAACCCGCAAAGGGAAGUUUGGGUCCAAAAAAAAGUGAUGUGAAAAAAUGAAAAGAUGAAAAUGAAAAAUGAAAAAUGGAGAGGCUAAGGUGAAAACCCGCAAAGGGCGCCUUAGACCAAAGGGGAUUUGAGUUGAAAACCCCAAAAGGGCGGCUCAAAUGUUGAUCAAAAUGGCGUUUGAAAUUUUUAGAGCAGCUCGAAUACUGAUCAGAAUGGGGGCAGGCAGUGGUCUUGCUAUACCGGAAUCAACAGGAAAGGGUAGGCGACAUCUUAGGGCAUCGACAAAGUACUCCUAAACACAUUUUAAACUCAGAAUGGUCUUAAAAAAUCUGUACAGAGAAGUUCAAGCUACGAUAUCUGGGGCACCUAAUCCUUAUAUUAUUUUUUGUUAUUCUUGGAACAUUUCAUUCAUUUCCAAGAUAUGCAUUCCUAAAUCAAUUUCUUUGUUAUCCAUCUUUAUUAUCUUUGACAACUUAUUCAUUUCGAGCUAUGCUCAGAACCAACUCAAUUCUUAUCCAUGAUCUUUUUUGCAAGCAUGUUGCAUUAGAAUAAUGAUUAAUGGACUAAUAAAACUUUCACAAGGGAAGUUUUGCAUAUUACUCUAAAAGUUUCUGAAUAAUAUAGGAACCUCAAACAUGACUAUUGUUUAGAACGCACCAGGUUGGAAAUCUGAUAAAGAAGAGUCUAAAUUAAGACUAUCCAUUUGAAUUUUCUUGUCUAAAGUAUUAAUUGAACAAAAUGGCAAGGUGUCGUGUUGGUGAAAAAGCUUCAAUGAACAAGCAAGCAAUGAUCACCGAGUAAUAUGAAGAAGUUGUUCUUGGAGAAGAUUUCUUCAUUUGUGCAUGAGCAUUUGGUACAACACCCUGGGAAUGGUGUAAGAGACCAAAAAGUUUCACAUCCUGUAUCCUUGAAUUGUGAUAGUAAAGGAUUGAGAAAAGGCCGAAUCUUUUUAUUAUUGGGUUACAACAGGAGAAAGAUGGUACAUAUUUUGCAUCCCAGUGGAUCAAACUUGGAGGUUUACAGUGGGGGGCAAUCUGGUUAAGUGUUUUUCGGAGAUGCUAGCUGAGCAAGAAUGUGUUAUAGCUCAUUAGUGAGGAAACCUUAAUAAACUAGGAGUAAUAAUAACUCAAACGUUAAAAUAUCAUUUUCAUGACAUUCUACAUUCAUGCAAACACCAUUCACAUCUGUCUAGUUAGGAGCAUUUGAUUCAUUUUGAUCAUGUCGUCCUAAUCAUUAGGCAUAAUUAGGUUCAUUACACAUGUCAUGUUCCCUAGAGAACAAAUCAGUGAUGAUAACAGAUAUUGCCUUCCUACAUCGACAGUGAAGCAGAUCGAAGACACCAACCUCGCCUCCCUCGGAGACAGUGGAGCAGGUUGAAGAUAGCAGAUCUUGCCUUCCUGCAUAGACAGCGAAGCAGAUCAAAGAUGACAGAUUUUACCUCCCCGUGGUUACAGUGGAGUACAUUGAAGCCAAUAAUUCUACUUCCCUGGGCAACAGUGGAGUAGAUUGAAUAUUUCAGAUCCUAUCUCCCUAAGCAGUAGUGGAGCAGAUCAAAGAUGGCAGAUUUUACCUCCCUAUGGUUACAGUGGAGUACAUUGAAGCCAGUAAUUCUAUCUCCCUGGGCAGCAGUGGAAUAGAUUGAAGAUUUCAGAUCUUGUCUCCCUAAGCAGUAGUGGAGCAGAUCAAAGAUGGCGAAUUUUACCUCCUUGUGGUUACAGUGGAGCACAUUGAAGCCAGUAAUUCUACUUCCCUGGGCAGCAGUGGAAUAGAUUGAAGAUUUCAGAUCUUGCCUUCCUGCAAUCGACAGCGAAGCAGAUCGAAUAUGGCAGAUUUUACCUCCCUGAGGUUACAGUGGAGUACAUUGAAGCCAGUAAUUCUAUCUCCCUGGGCAACAGUGGAAUAGAUUAAAGAUUACAGAUCUUGCCUCCCUAAGCAGUAGUGGAGCAGAUCGAAGAUGGCGGAUUUUACCUCCUUGAAAUUACAGUGGAGUAUAUUGAAGCCAGUAAUUCUAUCUCCCCGGUCGGCAGUGGAAUCGAUAGAAGAAAGCAGAUCUUGUCUUCAUGUAUUGGCGUGAAGUAGAUCAAAGAUAACAGGUCAUGCCUUCCUAUAUCGGUAGCGAAGUGGAUCGAAUAUACAGAUCUUAUCUUUCUAUAUUGGUGGUGAAGUAGAUCGAAGAAAGCAGAUCUUGUCUUCCCAUACUGGUGGUGAAGUAGAUCGAAGAUACAAGUCUUAUCUCCCUGAAGUUGCAGUGGAGCAGAUAGAAGUAACCAAUCCUAUCUCCUUAAAGUUGCAAUGGAGUGGAUUAAAAUCACAGAUCUCAUCUCUCUGAAAUUGCAGUAGAGUAGAUCGCGUCAGAUUUAUCUCAAAGUUGUAGCAGAAUAAGUUGAAGCUAUAAAUCUUAUCUCCCUGAAGUUGCAGUGGAGCAGAUUAAAAAUAGCGAAUUUUGUUCUCUUGAAGAACUACAACGUACGAAUCCUAUCUCCCUAGCAUUGCAGUAGAGUAGAUUGAAGCACUAGUUCCUAUAUCUUGGAAGAUGUAGCAAGAAGGAACGAGGCUAUUUGAAGUAGAGAAGCAUUGAAGAAGUCGAGGCUCAGUAAGACUGGGCACAAUUGGGCUUAUAGUCUUUGCUCUGUUCCCGUUACACGACAACGAGCAAAGAGGGGUAGUUGUAGGGCCCAAUUUUUGCCCAGCCCAUAUACAAAUAAUACAACUAAAUAAUAAAAACAAAUACAAAUAACAGUGGCCCGUACAAACCAAAGCCCCAAUCCAAUAGCCCAAAUAUUAACCUUAAUUACAAGCCCAAAAUACUAACAGCCUAGCAAGCCCAAAGCUUAACAAAUUUUCAGCCAAAUCAAAAACAAAAACCCUAGUAGCCGCUGUAGCGAUUCGCCCCUGCACGCCGCCGUGAAUAUCGUAGAACGACCCUCCGCGCACGUGCGCCUCCUCCACUACUUUCGUACCUGCGAGAAAGCGGAACCAACACUACAGCAAACGCAACAAUAACAGAAAAUAAGGAGGCUUUUUGAUUUUUACGGGAUUUUUAUUUGUUUAUUUUUCUUUGUUUUCGGUUAUAAAAACCGAUGGUAUUUCAGUGAAAAGAAGGACGAAAAAAGAAAAUACAGAGAAUACAAAACAUUUAUUUUUUGAAGGUGAAUCGAGUCUUUUUUUUAUUUUGUCUAUUCUUGUUUCGAUUUAUUUUUUUUACAUUAAAAAUAUAAAGAAAAGAGGGAAGAGGAAACUUACUUUUUCGCCGAAAUCGCCGAGUUGGUGCCCUCUCCGUCGCGAUUGGAGACCGGGCAUCAACGGAGGCCGUAUGGGUUCUUGAAAACGGCGGCGCUGAAGGGUUGAUAAAACCCUAAAGAAGCAGUCUGCUUCAAGGAAAGGGAAAACAGAUUUUUCCCUAAUUCUUUUUCUAUUUUUUUAAUUUAAAACAAAACGUAAAACGGCGCCGUUUAGGAGGACAUGAGCCGCGCAGUGACCCGACCCGGAGGGGAGGAUUCGAGCGUUCUGGCCUUAAAGGGUAAAUUUGCGCAAUUGGCCCCUCCUGCUUGCGACGCGCUUCAAUCAAGCCCAUUUUGUUAUUUUUUUAAAAAUUAAGCCGCAUAUUUCGUUUUUGUUUCAAUUUGGCCCAUCUCUGCGCAGCGUUUUGGGAAGGUGGAAAUAAUUUCCCUUUCGGUCCUCCAUUGUUUCCUGCGCAUUCAAAGUGGUCCCUCUUUUAUUUAUUUCAAAUUUGCCCCAUUUUUCGUCUUUUGUUCAAUUUAAUCCAUUUUUGAACUAUUUUACUAUUUAUUAUUAUUAUAUUAUAUUAUUACUUGUUUAUCAUUAUUAUUUAUUUUUAUUAUUAUUAUUAUUAUUGAAAUUAUUAUUUUCGUGUACAUACAAACAUUUUUUUAUAUUUUUAAUUUCAAAAACCUUUUUACUUUUGUAAAUAUGUAUAUACGUGUAUUCCUAUUUUUUUAUAUUACUUUCUUUAUUUUACAAAUGUGUGUAUAUAUAUAUAUGUAAAUAUACAUGCACAUUUUAAAAUACACAUACAUUUCCCAUAUAUUUUUUUUAAUUUUUAAAAGAGAAGUACAUUCGUCCUCUAUAAUAUAUAUAUAUAUAUAUUUUAUAUUCUUAACUUAUCAUAAACAUUUUUUUUGAUUGUUCUAUAUUCCCUUAUUUUAUACAUAUUGCACAUGUAUAUGUAUUUGAAUAUAUACGUAUGCGAAUUUUCAGGAUUUACCUAUGUAUAUAUAUUUAUACAUUUUAUUUUUCUAUUUUGUAAAUAUAUAUGAUUCAUAUUAAAGUGUUUGUUUUAUUGUGUAUUAACAUUUUGUCAUUUUUUUAUAUAUUUUUACCUCAAAGUAUUUUCUUUUGAUUCAAAGGUUUUUUUUUAAUAAAAGUAAUAUUCAAAGUUUGGGAUUUUCAAGGGAAAUGGAGUCCUAACGUAUUGGGUUCUGAUUUUCUUUGAUGAUCUUAAAUAACCGAGGAUAUUCUUUAUUCAAAAUGCAUGAGUAUAAAAAUCAUUUUCGGGAACUUAACUUGUCGUGCCCUAACGUAUUGGGUGUGGCAUGUUACUUUCAAACCUGCAAAGUCCUGUAAACUCAGAUUCAGUCAGGAAAUACUCCGCUUAAAGAAGGAGAGGACCAAGGUAAAAACCCGCAAAGGGAAGUUUGGGUCCAAAAAAAAAGUGAUGUGAAAAAAUGAAAAGAUGAAAAUGAAAAAUGAAAAAAUGGAGAGGCUAAGGUGCAAACCCGCAAAGGGCGCCUUAGACCAUCAAAUAAGCUUUGAUACAGCUCCUUAUACGACAUCGGAAUUGGCGUGAACUGGAGCUUCUCAGUACCUGGUUUCACUCCAGAUUCCU